CAAUUAAGAAUAAUGGAAACAACAAAAAAAAGUAAUAUUAACAACAUAAAUAAAUAUAAAUUAACAAAUGAAAAUAAUUACUUUGAUGAAAAUUGGGAAAAUCACAACGAACUAGAUGAACAAACGAACACAAAGGAAAGUAUGAUGUCCAUUCCGGUCAAAAAAGAAAACAUACCCAUGUCGAAUAAAACAGACAAUACUGUUAAUUAUUCUGAAGAUAAAAGUAAUGGCAGUACACAGGAAAAAACAAAACAAGGAAAACAUAAUAAUAACUUAAAAAGUACAAAUACUAUAGUAACACAUCAUAGCAAUCCUAAUGAUGACCACAAGAAUGAUAGUAAUAAUAACACUAAUACGAAAGAACAUAAAAAAAUAUAUAGUUCCCAACACAUCUCAAACGAAGAAAAUAACAAAAACAGCAAAAUAAAUAAAGAAUUAAAUAAAAUUGAAGAUAAUGUACUAGUUCUUCCUUUUUAUUUUAAUAAGAAUGCAAAAGAUAACAUUUUAACCAGUAUAAUUGUUAAUUUUCAAAAAGAAGAAGAAAAUGUAGUUGUAUAUAAAAAAACAAUAAAAACGUUGAAUGACACAAACAAAAUCGAUAAAAUGAAUGUCAAUUUGAGGAAUAACACAAAUUAUAAAUCAUGCCAACAACCGAAUGGACAACCGAAUGGGCAACCCAAUUGCCAGACUAAUGAUCAAACAAUUGCAAACACAACAGAAGGGAGUAAUAUUCUCAGCAAUAUAAAAAAUAAAGAUAAUAUAAUGCAUUAUAUAGGGGAAAAUUAUAACUGUAAUAAUUGUUAUGAUAUAUAUGACAAUUACGAAGAGGAUGAUAUUGAUAUACUUAAAUAUGAGCAAAACAGAAAUAUAAAUAAAUCAAAUAUACAAAAAGAAAAUGAAAGGGAUGUUAACUCUGUUAGAAGUGACACAGAAAGGAAGAAAAUAUAUGAGAGAGGUGAGCAAGAAGAGUCAUACGAACAAGAAGAGUCAUACGAACAUGACGAUCAAUACGAACAUGACGAUCAAUAUGAGCAUGGUGAUCAAUAUGAGCAUGGUGAUCAAUAUGAGCAUGGUGAUCAAUAUGAGCAUGGUGAUCAAUAUAAACAAGACGAUAAAAGUAGCUAUACACAAAGUAGUAAAGAAAAAAAAAGCAAAAAGAAUGAAAAAUAUGACG
rnacentral:lncRNA from 1 species